rnacentral:rRNA from 1 species
GCAUGGCUGUCGUCAGCUCGUGUUGUGAAAUGUUGGGUUAAGUCCCGCAACGAGCGCAACCCUUAUCCUUUGUUGCCAGCGUUCCGGCCGGCAACUCAGAGGAAACUGCCGGUAAUAAACUGGAGGAAGGGGGGGAUGACGUCAAGUCAUCUGCCCCCUUACAACUGGGGCUACCCACUUGCUACAAUGGCGCAAACAAAAAGAAGCAACCUCCCGAGAGCAAGCGGACCUCAAAAAGUGCGUCCUAUUCCGGAUUGGAGUCUGCAACUCGACUCCAUGAAGUCGGAAUCGCUAGUAAUCGUGGAUCAGAAUGCCACGGUGAAUACGUUCCCGGGUCUUGUAACACAC